UUUGCACGCAUUGGAGCAAAUAGCACUGAAGUGAAAAAAAAAAUCGCACUCACCCACUGCUCCGUACAUCUGCUCCAACGCCGGCGACCAGACCGCGGCUCCAUGACCGGAGACCAACCCCGGCGGUGCUACUUCUCCCCCACCCCGUCCCCCAUCCCUGCAACACCCUGAUCCCUCCUCCGAGCUCCAGCUCUCCCCCAUCUCGCAUCCCGUGUGACCGACGCCUCCACAUCAACGACCACCUCCGGCCGGUGACCCGCGACUGGGAGGUGCUCGAGCUCUUCAGCGGCGGAAGCGGAGGCGUGGAUCACCCAGCUUGCCCCCGCUCGCAUGUCCCUCGAGUCAGCCGUCGCCGCGCGCCUACAGCUCACGCUCGCCGUCCUCCUCCGCUGAUAUCUCCUCCCGUACAUGGAUAGUUGUCGAGCUCAGUCGCCGCUUCCAGGGCCAGGCCCUCUCAUCACGCCUGAAGGGAGGGAAGAGCAAGCAGCAAACCAGGUGAGGAACCAAAGAGCAGGCAGAAGAAAACAUAAAUCAGUGAACUACGUUUCAAGGGAUUGCCAUGAAUCUGGUUGAGGAAGUUGAGAUGCAUUUGUCUGCUUCACAAAUGGAGCCAUGCCUGAAGUUGAGAUGCAUUUGUCUGCUGCUCAAGGGUAAUCUUCCAUAUACUCUUCAUACUCAUUUUUAUUCCACUCUCUGUCAUAGAAUGUUGGAAAAUAUUUUCAAGACUUGGAAUGCUGGAAUUCUUGGUCCAGUGAGACUUUAUGGCCAGAAUGAGGGAAGAAGAGAUCUCACAUGGCAGAAAUGAACUUAUGAGGUAGUAAUGCUGAUGGGCCAUACAGCAUGCCGAUCUCUAUCAGGCAUGCCAUGCAACUCCAAGUUAAGGCAGAGAUGUUGAUUUUGUGCGAGGACAUGACCAGUGACCACCGGCCUAAAAUAUUCAAGAAAAUCGAGGAGAUUCCAAAUGUGAAGGAAAGGUGGUUCAAUUGGACAACACUGAGGGGAAUUAGCUUCAUCUAUCAUUCAUUCAACAAGAUAACUUGUUACGUACAAAUUGUCAGUAUGAUUAAAUGGGAUGUGAGGCAGCCUCCUUGGAGCAGUUGGAGUUGGAGGAGCAGCUGCCGACGGCAGGUGCUGGGCGGCAUCCUCGAUGGUGUCGGCGGUGACGUCUCGUUGGUGAUGAUCCGCGAUGGUAUCCUUCGUGAAGGACUUGCUGGCGCGGUUGGCGGCAACUACGGUCUAGCUAUUGACCAUGGUGAGUUGAUGGACAUGGAGCAGUUCGAGUUGGCAUGUGUAGGGCGCCGACGCUGUCGCUAGUCCGUGGUGCCGAAGGUCGGCAAGGGCGCUGGGAGGCGACGGUCGUGCGGAUGAAGAUCGGCGAGGGGACGAAGGUCGGCGAGGGCGCUGGGAGGCGACGGUCAUGCGGAUGAAGAUCGGCGAGGGGACGAAGGUCGGCCGGGGAGCUGCGAGGCGACGGUCGUGCGGGUGAAGAUCGGCGAGGGGACGAAGGUCGGCCGGGGAGCUGCGAGGCGACGGACGUGUGGGAUGAAGGUGGGCACGUUUUGGUAACGGUUUUAUUUGGAGAUGCGUUAGUGGAGAUUCGUCCGGAUUGUUCAAUUAAUGUAACGAUUGGAGAUGGUUGUCCGGUUGUCCGUCCGGGCUGAUCUAGACCAUACGAUCUGUUUUGGUUGGUUCUGAUUUAAUGGAUCUGCCCCCUUCUGGGACCUUUUAUAUUAGUGGAGAUUUAGAGUUA